UUCCUAAUAGGCACACUGAAAGCUAAAUUUUAAUUUUUCAUAAGCUUUGAAAUGCAGUUAUUUAAUUACACUUCAUUCCAAAUAUUGAUCAGUUUCUGCUUUUGUCUCUUUUGACCCAUCAGUUAUUUAAAACUGUGUUCUCCAAUUGCUAAACAUAUGACAUUUUAUUUACUUUUCUUUUAGUUACAUUGUGGUGAGGAAAUGUUGUUUAUAUUAUUUUAAUACUAUAAAAAUUUUAAGCAUUUCUUCUUGGAUAAAUGUAAGAGUAAUGAUAAUAAAUGUUUCCUAUGUACUUGAAAA